GAUGAACGCUGGCGGCGUGCCUAAUACAUGCAAGUCGAGCGAACAGACGAGGAGCUUGCUCCUCUGACGUUAGCGGCGGACGGGUGAGUAACACGUGGAUAACCUACCUAUAAGACUGGGAUAACUUCGGGAAACCGGAGCUAAUACCGGAUAAUAUAUUGAACCGCAUGGUUCAAUAGUGAAAGACGGCUUUGCUGUCACUUAUAGAUGGAUCCGCGCCGCAUUAGCUAGUUGGUAAGGUAACGGCGUACCAAGGCAACGAUGCGUAGCCGACCUGAGAGGGUGAUCGGCCACACUGGAACUGAGACACGGUCCAGACUCCUACGGGAGGCAGCAGUAGGGAAUCUUCCGCAAUGGGCGAAAGCCUGACGGAGCAACGCCGCGUGAGUGAUGAAGGUCUUCGGAUCGUAAAACUCUGUUAUUAGGGAAGAACAAAUGUGUAAGUAACUAUGCACGUCUUGACGGUACCUAAUCAGAAAGCCACGGCUAACUACGUG
rnacentral:rRNA from 1 species